AAGACAUUAGUAAAAUGUACAUUACACCACCUUGUCAAGAUGGAAUUGCAGGUUAAACCCCUACAUGUCUUA
rnacentral:tRNA from 1 species